rnacentral:ncRNA from 1 species
AAAGAGUUUGAUUCUUAUUUAUUAAAUUAGUUUUUUUAUUUUUUUGCAUGUAACUUUAUUGAAGAUAGUUUUUUCUAAAUGGAUUAUUUAAAAUUUUCAGUGUUUAAUUUUAAUUUAAAUUAAUAUUUUAUUUUGAUAAAUUAAAAUUCAAAAUCAGAAAAAUGUUAUGCCAGCAUUCGCGGUUAUAUUUCAUGAUUAAAUUAAUUUUUUUUAGGUUUCAGAAAAAUUUUUUUUUUUUUUUUAAUUUAGGUGAAAUUUAUUAUAAAAUUAUAUUUAUAUUCUGUUUAAUCUAUUUUUUAAACCAGGAUUAGAUACCCUGUUAUUUUAGUUAAAUUACAAAAUUCUAGUGAGUAAAUUUACAUUGAAAUUUAUAGAAUCUGGCGGUUUUUAAAUCUUUUUAGAGGAACCUGCAUUAUAAAUGAUAGUCCACGAUAAAUUUUACCUUUAUUUUUUUGUAUAUCUCUGUCGUUGAAUGUAAUGAUAAUUAAUUUUCUUAGUAUUUUUUUAUAUUUAUGUUAGGUCAAGGUGCAAUUAUAUAUGGGGGUUUGUGGGUUACAUUAAUCAAUUUUUUUUGAAUUAUUUUUUUUAAUAAAUUAUGAAAUUGGAUUUAAAAGUAAAAAGUUUUAUUCAAAUUUUUGAAUUUAGUUCUUACUAAUGUACAUAUCGCCCGUCAUUCCCAUAAAUUGGGACAAGUCGUAACAAAGUAGAUGUACUGGAAAGUGUAUCUAGAAA